rnacentral:rRNA from 1 species
GCAAGUCGAACGAUGAAGCCCAGCUUGCUGGGUGGAUUAGUGGCGAACGGGUGAGUAACACGUGAGUAACCUGCCCCCGACUCUGGGAUAAGCCCGGGAAACUGGGUCUAAUACCGGAUAUUACCUUUGACCGCAUGGUUGUUGGUGGAAAGAUUUAUCGGUGGGGGAUGGACUCGCGGCCUAUCAGCUUGUUGGUGAGGUAAUGGCUCACCAAGGCGACGACGGGUAGCCGGCCUGAGAGGGUGACCGGCCACACUGGGACUGAGACACGGCCCAGACUCCUACGGGAGGCAGCAGUGGGGAAUAUUGCACAAUGGGCGAAAGCCUGAUGCAGCGACGCCGCGUGAGGGAUGACGGCCUUCGGGUUGUAAACCUCUUUCAGUAGGGAAGAAGCGAAAGUGACGGUACCUGCAGAAGAAGCGCCGGCUAACUACGUGCCAGCAGCCGCGGUAAUACGUAGGGCGCAAGCGUUAUCCGGAUUUAUUGGGCGUAAAGAGCUCGUAGGCGGUUUGUCGCGUCUGCCGUGAAAGUCCGAGGCUCAACCUCGGAUCUGCGGUGGGUACGGGCAGACUAGAGUGAUGUAGGGGAGACUGGAAUUCCUGGUGUAGCGGUGAAAUGCGCAGAUAUCAGGAGGAACACCGAUGGCGAAGGCAGGUCUCUGGGCAUUUACUGACGCUGAGGAGCGAAAGCAUGGGGAGCGAACAGGAUUAGAUACCCUGGUAGUCCAUGCCGUAAACGUUGGGCACUAGGUGUGGGGGACAUUCCACGUUUUCCGCGCCGUAGCUAACGCAUUAAGUGCCCCGCCUGGGGAGUACGGCCGCAAGGCUAAAACUCAAAGGAAUUGACGGGGGCCCGCACAAGCGGCGGAGCAUGCGGAUUAAUUCGAUGCAACGCGAAGAACCUUACCAAGGCUUGACAUGUGCCAGACCGCCUCAGAGAUGGGGUUUCCCUUCGGGGCUGGUUCACAGGUGGUGCAUGGUUGUCGUCAGCUCGUGUCGUGAGAUGUUGGGUUAAGUCCCGCAACGAGCGCAACCCUCGUUCCAUGUUGCCAGCACGUAAAGGUGGGGACUCAUGGGAGACUGCCGGGGUCAACUCGGAGGAAGGUGGGGAUGACGUCAAAUCAUCAUGCCCCUUAUGUCUUGGGCUUCACGCAUGCUACAAUGGCCGGUACAAUGGGUUGCGAUACUGUGAGGUGGAGCUAAUCCCUAAAAGCCGGUCUCAGUUCGGAUUGGGGUCUGCAACUCGACCCCAUGAAGUCGGAGUCGCUAGUAAUCGCAGAUCAGCAACGCUGCGGUGAAUACGUUCCCGGGCCUUGUACACACCGCCCGUCAAGUCACGAAAGUUGGUAACACCCGAAGCCGAUGGCCUAACCACCUUGUGUGGGGGG